rnacentral:rRNA from 1 species
AUUGAACGCUGGCGGCGUGCUUAACACAUGCAAGUCGAUCGGUAACAGGUGUAGCAAUACAUGCUGACGAGAGGCGGACGGGUGAGUAAUGCUUGGGAAUCUGCCUAUUAGUGGGGGACAACCCGGGGAAACUCGGGCUAAUACCGCAUACGCUCUACGGAGGAAAGCCGGGGACCGCAAGGCCUGGCGCUAAUAGAUGAGCCCAAGUCGGAUUAGCUAGUUGGUAGGGUAACGGCCUACCAAGGCGACAAUCCGUAGCUGGUCUGAGAGGACGACCAGCCACACCGGAACUGAGACAC